rnacentral:lncRNA from 1 species
CCGCCCUUAGAAUCCCUUCGUCUCUCAAACUCUCUCUAACCCUCUCUGAAACCCUAGCCCUACUCCGCUGGUUUCCACCUUGUUUCACCAGAAUCCAUGGCGUCCCAAGCCAUGGGUGUCCUAUGCUCACCCUCAUGUGCCCUCAUACCCCUGUUACUUGAAGAUUCAAGGUUUGAGCUUGAAGGCCUUCGCUCAGAUCUCCGUCGAUUCGAAUGUUACGGCCAUCUUUGGCUUGACUACGGCAUAUGCUAGCCCUAUGAGUCCAUCUCUGACUCAUUCGACUCGGAGCAGAC